rnacentral:rRNA from 1 species
GUCGAGCGGUAACAGGGGUAGCUUGCUACCCGCUGACGAGCGGCGGACGGGUGAGUAAUGCAUAGGAAUCUGCCCGAUAGUGGGGGAUAACCUGGGGAAACCCAGGCUAAUACCGCAUACGUCCUACGGGAGAAAGGGGGCUUCGGCUCCCGCUAUUGGAUGAGCCUAUGUCGGAUUAGCUAGUUGGUAAGGUAAUGGCUUACCAAGGCAACGAUCCGUAGCUGGUCUGAGAGGAUGAUCAGCCACAUCGGGACUGAGACACGGCCCGAACUCCUACGGGAGGCAGCAGUGGGGAAUAUUGGACAAUGGGGGCAACCCUGAUCCAGCCAUGCCGCGUGUGUGAAGAAGGCCCUCGGGUUGUAAAGCACUUUCAGCGAGGAAGAACGCCUAUCGGUUAAUACCCGGUAGGAAAGACAUCACUCGCAGAAGAAGCACCGGCUAACUCCGUGCCAGCAGCCGCGGUAAUACGGAGGGUGCAAGCGUUAAUCGGAAUUACUGGGCGUAAAGCGCGCGUAGGUGGCUUGAUAAGCCGGUUGUGAAAGCCCCGGGCUCAACCUGGGAACGGCAUCCGGAACUGUCAGGCUAGAGUGCAGGAGAGGAAGGUAGGAUUCCCGGUGUAGCGGUGAAAUGCGUAGAGAUCGGGAGGAAUACCAGUGGCGAAGGCGGCCUUCUGGACUGACACUGACACUGAGGUGCGAAAGCGUGGGUAGCAAACAGGAUUAGAUACCCUGGUAGUCCACGCCGUAAACGAUGUCGACCAGCCGUUGGGUGCCUAGAGCA